CACACACACACACACACACACACACACACACACACACACACACACACACACACACACACACACACACACACACACACACACACACAGCAGGUGUGCCUCCUGUGAGUAGAAAUGUGUCAGACCUCGUCCCAAUGCUGGGUUUCCACAUGCAGCUGCACCAGCGCCUCCAUGCUCCCCUAAAACGUCGAUGGCUUUGAGAUUCUCCCCGGCUGAGAUAUACAUCUCUGCUGCCGCCUGGGGCUCCUUGCUGCACUUGGCCCAGUCAGCCUGCUUGGCCAUCAGGAUCCGAGAGGUCCUGGGAUCUGUUGCCCCAAUAUAGUCCUGCAAAGGAAAUACAGCCAUGUGAAAAAGCAACACACAAGUGUCAUGGUUAAAAUGGAAACUGGAAUGCUUUGUCCCAGUCUGACAGACAAAUGGAGGUCAAGUCCGAGACAGAAGGGAGAGAAUCACACAACAGCAGGUGUCCGGGGAUCCUCCAAUUCCGGUAUUCAUCCUACAUAAAACAUACAGGCUCUGGGAACAGAUGGCUGCACAGCCACAUAAAUAUACAGUAGCCACAUCCAAUACACAUACACACAGUCAAAUAAAUACACACAAGCAAGUUAUGCAUGUGUCAUCUGCUUAGGCAAUAUGCAUUACAUUGUGGACUGCAACCAUCGGCUCUUCUGCCUCCUUGUUUGGGCUCCCUGAGAUUUUGUUUAACCCCGGAGUGAGAAAAUUUUGCAUUCUCUAAUUUGAGUUCUAAAAUUUCAGACUACUUUUGAGGACAUAACUACGCACAGGCUGAGUCCUGAGGCGCAACAAAGGCAAGUAAAAGAGACUUGAAGCUUGUGUGCUCAGUUCAGCUUCUUGAGUGUGUAACUACUUGUGUAAGCUAACUAUGAGUACUUGCCUUGAAAGAAAAUAGAAAAGGGCAACAAGUUUAAUUUCACAUGAACUGAUUGGUUUUCCUGUAGAGAAGUUACAAACAUUUUAAAAGUUUAUAAGCUGUGUUAUGUUUUGCAUCUAUAUACUAUUUUUCUAUUGCAGAAGAGGUGGCAAAAUGUGUCUUUUAAUAGUAAAGGUUACAAACCCAAGCAUUAGCUGAUUAAUAUCAAAGUCUUUCCAUACAUAAAAAAACAAAAAAACAUUUUUACUUUUUUCCUUAUUUCUCCUGACAUCUGCACUGAAGAAUUCAUGCAAAAUUAGAAGCUCCAUUUCCAACUCAAACCAGUGUCUGAAAGUUGGCUUUGUGUUGUGAAAUAAUACAUGUGUAAAGGCAUGUUGUUAAUGUACUGUCACCUGAUUUAUGUGGAGAUUUCAGUGAGCACCUGAUAUAAUAAAAAACAGCCCAACCAAACACUGGACACUUUUGUGAACACGCAAA